rnacentral:snoRNA from 1 species
CUGUUCAAAAUAAUGAAAGAAAUUCGGAUUUUAAAUCAUCUUGUCUCCGAGAGAGCAAAACCGUGUGGAGAUUUUCCGUUGCCUUCCUUCUGAUUCAAGAA